rnacentral:lncRNA from 1 species
GUAUGUAACCUUACAAUUUUGGAGGGCUGUCACUGGAAAGUCUUUUCUAAGUGUAUAUUUUUUUAUAUAAAGAGACUUAUAGCAGUAACUAAAGGGAAAUAAAACACCACAAAAUCCUAUUGGAGACAUCGCAAACAUUUUGAAUUCCAUUAUUUGUCAUUAUUCCCUGCCAUUACAGUUCCUGCAAUGUUUAUAUGAUCAUAUACAGAGAGGAAAAUCUUGUGCAGCUUGUUCUAGUCUACUCCAUCUUUUCAUUCUGGGAAAACAAAAUGGAAAAACAGAGGCCCCA